GAUGAACGCUGGCGGCGUGCCUAAUACAUGCAAGUCGAGCGAACGGACGAGAAGCUUGCUUCUCUGAUGUUAGCGGCGGACGGGUGAGUAACACGUGGAUAACCUACCUAUAAGACUGGGAUAACUUCGGGAAACCGGAGCUAAUACCGGAUGAUAUUUUGAACCGCAUGGUUCAAAAGUGAAAGACGGUCUUGCUGUCACUUAUAGAUGGAUCCGCGUUGCAUUAGCUAGUUGGUAAGGUAACGGCUUACCAAGGCAACGAUGCAUAGCCGACCUGAGAGGGUGAUCGGCCACACUGGAACUGAGACACGGUCCAGACUCCUACGGGAGGCAGCAGUAGGGAAUCUUCCGCAAUGGGCGAAAGCCUGACGGAGCAACGCCGCGUGAGUGAUGAAGGUCUUCGGAUUGUAAAACUCUGUUAUUAGGGAAGAACAUAUGUGUAAGUAACUGUGCACAUCUUGACGGUACCUAAUCAGAAAGCCACGGCUAACUACGUG
rnacentral:rRNA from 1 species